UAAAAUUCAAUCUUUGAAUAAGGAGCUGGUAAAACAGUGGUCUCCAGGCAGUAAAUUAAGUCACUAGAACCUUAAAUAGAUUACUUAUAGGAAACUGACUAAGGAAGCACAUGUCUUCAGGCACAAGAUGGAAAGACCUUACCCUGGAUCAGACACAUCUUACAGAAGCAUUUGGUGCCAGAAGAUAAUUUAAUCUAUUAAAAAGCAUGUACUGGGGAGCUUUUGAUUGCCUUCAAAAAGAACUGGCAGAAAUGCCCUCACAAACCAGACAGACCUUCCCUGUUUGCCAGGGUAUGUAUUCCCCUCCACCCCUCCUGAUCUGUCCUCAGCUUUGCUGACCUCUACAAGGCACACUUGUAGAUGGCAACUGAUGCUUAUCCUCAUGCUGCUUUUUUUCCUGUGCCCGAAUCAUCACUCAGAAGAAGACCAUGAUGAGGUUUCAGCAGUCUUAGCAGCCUCAGGUGGACCAGCUUUGAAAAAGGGAGAAGAGAGUCCUCAGGCCAGGCCUACUGGUGCCAAUGACCAGUCAUUCUCAAGAAAUCCGCUGGCACAUUCCCACUCCUUCUGCCACAUCUCCAAGUACAACAGUGCUGAGAUAUCUGGAGACAACAGGGAUUCAACAGUGAAAGAAAGAAAGAAAAAGAGAAGGAAGAAUGUGUCCACCAGACUCAUGAUGAAAUGGAAGAGAGUGAAGAGCUCACCAAGCCAUCUUCAAAAAGCUUGAUAGGUCUUCAUGGCACAGUACAGAGCUAUGUAGAUAUAUUAAUUAGUGUUCCAGCAUUGAUACAAACACGUCUUUCUGAAAACAGUCAUGACCCAAACCUGUUAUUAAAUAUUAAUCUGAGGUUCUCUGCACCAUGGUACAUUGUUUUGUGUAGACUAAUCCUAAAACACAAACAAACAAACAAACAAACCUCCUCUGCAGUAAGGUUUAUGAUUUCAUGAUGUAAAAGGAAAUGAGAGGUACAAAUUUUUUUAUUGCUCAGGUUUAGCAAUAUUUUGAACAUUUGACUGAAAGUCCUUGCAUACAUUCUGCCCUUAAGCUCAAUGAAUUUGAAUUGCAAC
rnacentral:lncRNA from 1 species